GGAUGUGAGGGAGAUAUCUGUCACCCCACUGAUCACCAGGUUGAUCCAGCUAAUCUGGCUGGCUAAGCAGCAUCCGAUUCCUCCCUCACCACUCCAUGUGUGACCUUCCCGAAGCUGUGUGCUUGGUUGAAGAGGAUGGUCUUCCCCAAAUAGAGAUGGACCAGUGGAGGGUAUAAGAGUAGCUGUCCUCCCCUGCUAGAACCUCCAAACAAACUCUUAAAUAAGAUAAAUAACACAAUUUCUCUAUAAUGGCUCCCCAGCUACAUUUUAAGAUGACUUCAUGCCUGACUACUUU
ensembl:misc_RNA 7SK 7SK RNA